UUGUUGUAGGAGCAGAAACAGCUGCUUUCAGAUUACUUAGUUCCUGCUGGAUUAGUUUCUCUUCCUCCUGAAAAACUGUAUUCCCAAGAAGAAGCAAAAGU